GAGGACCGCGCCGGCCGGCGGACCGAGCGCGGGCUGUGCCGACGGGAGAAAGGGGCACCGCGGCACGGCAGGCACAGGGGGCACGGCACACCCGGAAGAGCGCAAGCAAACAAACAAACAAGGGAGCCGCUGAGAUGGGCUCUAAGUGUUCCAACAAUAACAAAAGAAGAAUGAAGUGGAGCCCUGGAACACCUGGCCUUUUAUCUAAAGAUCACCUUCCUCCAGCUCCUGGCUUCCUCAUCAGCUGUGGGAGUGGACGCAUGGGAAACAAAAGCCAAAUGAACGGUUUUUGACUGCUCCUCCUAGCUACAUGCAUCUGUCCACCUUGACGAUCCCCUCUGCACAGUAAGCACAGAAGCUAUUUCUACCGUAUUGCACAUCAGCACCGGAAGAGAGAACCCUCAGACACAUUUGCUAAUGUAAAAGUGGAAGCAAAAAAAUCUUAGGCCAUGGUAUUUCUUGGUUGGUAUUUCAUUUAUUUUAAAACCAACUCAUAAAUUUAUGCAGUAGACCACUGAUCAAUCUCAUAUCUGUCAGGAGUUAAGUAGAAUAAACUGCAGAAUGCUGUUCCCAAAGCCUUUUGUUGAUUUUUACCAAACACAAGAGCUUACCAGGAAAGCUCCUCCUGGCAGUCCCUUGUUUUUGGCCACUGAAUUCACACUGAAUUAUCUGCAGAUGAGUGCCUUGACUCUUACCCACCACCAGCAAGAACUCUGGCAACUCACCUACCUGAAAUGGAAAUGGAGGCCAGAGUGAGGCCUCAAAUUGAGCCCCACAGCAUUUCCUGGCAGCUGCAUGUAAGCUAGGCAUUCUAAAGUAACUAAAAGCCCUGUCUAAGUUUGUUAUUAAGGGUACAUACUAUCUACACCAAGAGCAAAACCUAUUAAUUGGUCAUUUUGAUUCCAAAAAUAAUCAUGCAGCAAGCUUGCUAUUUAAACUCUGGGAAACACUACACAAAUAUCACAUUAAUGACUGUUAAUGAUCAGAUCUAUGACCUGCCUUCAACCUUCUGAUCUCAGAGAACUGCUGCAUUGGAGCAAAGUAAAGGCAGGCUUGCAAUUCCUUUGAACUGCAGCUUAGUCUGAGAACACCUGCCUUUGAAAAAUUGUCAGAGCAGACCCUUGGGAAAUAGCAGACCCAGCCGUACCACCCUAAGAGCCUCCAGCUCUCUGGGCUUUAUACCAGCGUGUUGCUCAUUUCCAAGCAUUCCUUUCUGAGCAUCUCUGCACAAUAUGCCCGUGUGGCAGCAGGAGAGGGAGACGGUACAUGCAGAUGUCCAGUGCAGUGGCGCAUGAAAGCACUGGGAAGUCUCCCUGUCCCUUCCAAUGCCAGGACGUACAGAAAACAAAUGCCUCUACAAAAAAGCCAAAAACACAGCGCUACUGACCUAUGGAAUAUAUUAAGUAUUUUUAAACAGCCAAUGAGCAGAGGAAGAAUGGUAGGAUUGGAGAGAGAGCACUGACAACUGAUAUGAGGGAGCACCAUGGAAAGCAGAGUAAGUGGUUAGCAAAAUUACACCAUGAACACACAAACAGCCCCCUUCCCCCAUGCCUUGGCAAUGGAAACUCUAUGGCAAACUCCAUGUGGGACAGUUAAAGAACUCACUCAGCAAGAUGGAUGAGGGAAAAACUGGUCUAACUUAAGGUUUGUUUACUUUUAAAGUUCAUGGAUGUUUUGCAAAUCAGUCCUUUAAAAAGACACAGUAUUCCUUUAAUCCAUGUAUAUUAAUUAAAAAGCAAUUUAAGGAAGGAGCUUUUCUUCCCUUAUCCCACCUUCCAAACAUCUUUCAGGAGGAAUGGAGAAACUGAAGCCACCAAAUGAGAACUGAAA